CCUCAGAAAUGGCUUAUUAUUUACCAAACACUUUAGGAACUGAAUAAUUGGGAGCAUUUCCUGGAAAUCAAGUGUAUCAUAAAACAUUGUUUGAAAUCAUGUUUCGCAAACUAGUAUAUAUUUGAACGGAUAACUCGAAAACACUAGUUUCAUUUCGUUCGUAGAUAAUUUCACUAGUCAAGAUGAAAAUAAUCGCAUUAUUUACAGUAUUUACUGUCUUGGUAACUCUGGUAAAUUCCCAUCCCGGUAUCCAGAAAUCAAAUGAUAUUGCAGAAAUCAACGGGGAAUUGGAAGAAAUCAAUCCAUUAGUAAGAGGUGUAAGAGCCGUUUGUGAUGAUGCUUUUUGCGCAAAAAUGUGCAGAUUAGACAGAAAACCUGGUGGACGGUGUUGGGGAAGUGUUUGCGUUUGUAAUCGACCUUAAUAUGUAAUAUAAAAAAACGUAUUCAUUAUCGACAAGAAGUACAGAACACUUCUCAUGCCUUUCUUGGGUGUUAUUUUUUUUCCCAAAAAUAUAUUUUAAAUGAGAAA